rnacentral:rRNA from 1 species
UACGAAGGGGGCGAGCGUUGUUCGGAAUUACUGGGCGUAAAGGGCGCGUAGGCGGCCUGUUAAGUCGGACGUGAAAUCCCUCGGCUCAACCGGGGAACUGCGUCCGAUACUGGCGGGCUUGAAUUCGGGAGAGGGAUGUGGAAUUCCAGGUGUAGCGGUGAAAUGCGUAGAUAUCUGGAGGAACACCGGUGGCGAAGGCGGCAUCCUGGACCGACAUUGACGCUGAGGCGCGAAAGCUAGGGGAGCAAACGGG